UACAGAGGUCUCAAGCGUUGUUCGGAUUCAUUGGGCGUAAAGGGUGUGUAGGUGGCGCCGUAAGUCGGGUGUGAAAUUUCGGAGCUUAACUCCGAAACUGCAUUCGAUACUGCGGUGCUUGAGGACUGGAGAGGAGACUGGAAUUCAUGGUGUAGCAGUGAAAUGCGUAGAGAUCAUGAGGAAGACCAGUGGCGAAGGCGGGUCUCUGGACAGUUCCUGACACUGAGGAGCGAAAGCAUGGGUAGCGAACAGG
rnacentral:rRNA from 1 species